AGCAGGACGUGGGUGGGGCCAGGUAAGAGAAUGAAAGCAGGCUGCCCCAGCCAGCAGUGGCAACCCGCUCGGGUCCCCUUCCACACUGUGGAAGCUUUGUUCUUUUGCUCUUUGCAAUAAAUCUUGCUACUGCUCACUCUUUGGGUCCAUGCUGCUUUUAUGAGCUGUAACACUCACCACGAAGGUCUGCAGCUUCACUCCUGAAGCCAGCGAGACCACGAGCCCGCCGGGAGGAACGAACAACUCCAGAUGUGCCGCCUUAAGAGCUGUAACACUCACCACAAAGGUCUGCAGCUUCACUCCUGAGCCAGCGAGACCACGAACCCACCAGAAGGAAGAAACUCUGAACACAUCCGAACAUCAGAAGGAACAAACUCCAGACGCACCACCUUAAGAGCUGUAACACUCACCGCAAGGGUCCGCAGUUUCAUUCUUGAAGUCAGUGAGACCAAGAACCCACCAAUUCUGGACACAUUUUGGCAACCCAGAUGGGACUUUCGCCUAUCACCAAGCGGUGAGACCAUCACCUAUAGCUGAGCGGCGAGACCAUCACCUAUCACCAAGCAAAUCAAGGCCAUCAAGCUACAGAUGGGCUUACAAAUGGAACCCCAAAUGAGUUCAACUAACAACUUCUACCAAGGGCCCCUGGACCGACCCACUGGCACUUCCCCUGGCCUAGAGUUCCCCUCUGAAGGACACUACAACUGCAAGGCCCCUUCUUCACCCCAUCCAGCAGGAAGUAGCUAGAGCGCUCAUCGGCCAAAUUCCCAACAGCAGUUGGGGUGUCCUGUUUAGAGGGGGGAUUGAAAGGUGACAGCGUGCUGGCAGUCCUCAGCCCUCGCUCACUCUUGGCACCUCCUCUGCCUGGGCUCCCACUUUGGUGGCACUUGAGGAGCACUUCAGCCCACCGCUGCACUGUGGGAGCCCCUUUCUGGGCUGGCCAAGGCCAGAGCCGGCUCCCUCAGCUUCCAGGGAGGUGUGGAGGGAGAGGCGCAAGCGGGAACUGGGGCUGCGCGCGGCGCUUGUGGGCCAGCUGCAGUUCCGGGCGGGUGUGGGCUUGGUGGGCCCUGCACUCAGAGCAGCCAGCCGGCCCUGCCGGCCCCGGGCAAUGAGGGGCUUAGCACCUGGGCCAGCAGCUGUGGAGGGUGUACUGGGUCCCCCAGCAGUGCCAGCCCACCGGCGCUGCACUCGAUUUCUCACCGGGCCUUAGCUGCCUUCCCAUGGGGCAGGGCUCGGGACCUGCAGCCUGCCAUGCCUGAGCCUCCCACACCCCCUCCAUGGGCUCCUGUGCGGCCCGAGCCUCCUCGACGAGCACCACCCCCUGCUCCACGGCACCCAGUCCCAUCGACCACCCAAGGGCUGAGGAGUGCAGGCGAAUGGCGUGGGACUGGCAGGCAGCUCCACCUGCAGCCCCUGUGGGGGAUCCACCGGGUGAAGCCAGCUGGGCUCCUGAAUCUGGUGGGGCCUUGGAGAACCUUUAUGUCUAGCUCAGGGAUUGUAAAUACACCAAUCGGCACUCUGUAUCUAGCUCAAGGUUUGUAAACACACCAAUCAGCACCCUGUGUCUAGCUCAGGGUUUGUGAGUGCACCAAUCGACACUCUGUAUCUAUCUGCUCUGGUGGGGCCUUGGAGAACCUUUGUGUGGAUACUCUGUAUCUAAUCUGAUGGGGACGUGGAGAACCUUUGUAUCUAGCUCAGGGAUUGUAAACGCACCAAUCAGCGCCCUGUCAAAACAGACCACUGGGCUCUACCAAUCAGGAGGACGUGGGUGGGGCCAGAUAAGAGAAUGAAAGCAGGCUGCCCCAGCCAGCAGUGGCAACCCGCUCGGGUCCCCUUCCACACUGUGGAAGCUUUGUUCUUUUGCUCUUUGCAAUAAAUCUUGCUACUGCUCA